rnacentral:lncRNA from 1 species
GUUAGUGCAUGUGCAUCACCAAACCCAAAGCUGCAGAAAAAGGAAUUUCCAAGAUCAAGAAAAAUGAAUAUCAAAGAAACAUAAAGGUUAUGCCCAGGGGUCCUGUUCUAGAUGUUAUGGGAGAAUGGCUUGUUGCCUUCACUGGGAGCUGUGCCUGCUGAAGGAACCCCAGGCUCUUGCAGGCCCUGAAGGUGGGCUCAGGCUCUGAGGACACAGGAUUGAAAAGAAAGGGAGUAAAACAGCACCAUUCAGAGCGGCCUUGAGUUUGGUUUUGUGGUAAUAGGCAGGAGGUGAGUGAA